GUUUUCUUUGAGGGUUUUUUUGGUGGUAGGUCUUAUGUUUAAAUCUUUAAUCCAUCUGGAGUUAAUUUUUGUAUAAGGUGUAAGGAAGGGGUCCAGUUUCAGCUUUCUGCACGUGGCUAGCUAGUUCUCCCAACAUCAUUUAUGAAACAGAGAUUUUAGCCUUUUCCCAUUGCUUGUUG